GAGCUAUUAGCUCAGAUGGUAGAGCACCUGACUUUUAAUCAGGUUGUCGCGGGUUCGAGUCCCGCAUGGCUCA
rnacentral:tRNA from 2 species